rnacentral:rRNA from 4 species
AAUACGACUCUCGGCAACGGAUAUCUCGGCUCUCGCAUCGAUGAAGAACGUAGCGAAAUGCGAUACUUGGUGUGAAUUGCAGAAUCCCGUGAACCAUCGAGUCUUUGAACGCAAGUUGCGCCCGAAGCCGUCAGGCCGAGGGCACGUCUGCCUGGGCGUCACGCA